UAGGGAAUAUUGCACAAUGGGCGAAAGCCUGAUGCAGCAACGCCGCGUGCGCGAAGAAGGCCUUCGGGUCGUAAAGCGCUUUUCGGGGAGAAGAGGAAGGACGGUAUCCCCGGAAUAAGGCUCGGCUAACUACGUGCCAGCAGCCGCGGUAAAACGUAGGAGCCAAGCGUUAUCCGAAUUCACUGGGCGUAAAGCGCGUGCAGGCGGUCUGGUAAGUUGGAUGUGAAAGCUCCUGGCUCAACUGGGAGAGGACGUUCAAUACUGUCAGACUAGAGGGCGGCAGAGGGAGGUGGAAUUCCCGGUGUAGUGGUGAAAUGCGUAGAUAUCGGGAGGAACACCAGUGGCGAAGGCGGCCUUCUGGGCCGUACCUGACGCUCAGACGCGAAAGCUAGGGGAGCAA
rnacentral:rRNA from 1 species